rnacentral:rRNA from 1 species
AUUGAACGCUGGCGGCAUGCUUUACACAUGCAAGUCGAACGGUAACAGGGAGCUUGCUCCGCUGACGAGUGGCGAACGGGUGAGUAAUGCGUCGGAACGUGCCGAGUAGUGGGGGAUAACGCAUCGAAAGGUGUGCUAAUACCGCAUAAGAACUGAGGUUGAACGUGGGGGACCUUCGGGCCUCACGCUAUUCGAGCGGCCGACGACUGAUUAUCUAGUUGGUGAGGUAAAGGCUCACCAAGGCGACGAUCAGUAGCGGGUCUGAGAGGAUGAUCCGCCACACUGGGACUGAGACACGGCCCAGACUCCUACGGGAGGCAGCAGUGGAGAAUUUUGGACAAUGGGCGCAAGCCUGAUCCAGCCAUGCCGCGUGUCUGAAGAAGGCCUUCGGGUUGUAAAGGACUUUUGUCCGGGAGCAAAUGCUGGUGGCUAACAUCCACCGGAGCUGAGAGUACCGGAAGAAUAAGCACCGGCUAACUACGUGCCAGCCGCCGCCGUAAGAC